rnacentral:tRNA from 1 species
GCCCCAGUAGCUUAGUAGUAGAGCACCUGACUUGUAAUCAGGAGGUCGGGAGUUCAAAUCUCCCCUGGGGCU